GACGAACCGUGCGAACGUUAUUCGGAAUCACUGGGCUUAAAGCGCGUGUAGGCGGGCCGCCGCGUCGGCUGCUGAAAUCCCCCCGGCUCAACCGGGGAACGGGCACCGAUACGGGCGGCCUCGAGGGGGGUAGGGGGGACUGGAACUUCCGGUGGAGCGGUGAAAUGCGUUGAGAUCGGAAGGAACGCCCGUGGCGAAAGCGAGUCCCUGGACCCUUUCUGACGCUGAGACGCGAAAGCCAGGGGAGCGAACGGG
rnacentral:rRNA from 1 species